CCACAGAUAAGUGGUGUUCGUAGCAGUGCUCCACCAAAUUUUGCUUCUUCUGUCAGUGCCCAACAGAGUCUAAUGGUGAGUGAGGUGACAAAGCAGAGAUCUCAAACACUACAACCUACUCGAACACUCCAUUCGCCUACUGAAGAGAGCAGCAAACCUAGAUCCGCCACCGUGACAAUAGAAUCAGCUACACUACCCCGAAGUGAGAGACCACUCGAUAUCGAAGUGGAAAACGAGCCAACCAAGAAAAAGAAGAAAGGGA